AGCAGGGAGAGCACUGGAGCUCUUCUUUAAAAAGCCCAGGAGAAUUAAAUGCUCCCAGGCUGGAUGUAGCCUUUGUGGAUGAGCAAAAACUACACAGUUCUCCGUCUGUUGUCCUCUUUUGUUGUCUUCUUCUGUUGCCAUAAAUCGUCAACUUGAUCUGCAUGUUAGGCAAGUUUGUUCGAUAAAAGUACAAAUUAUUUAAUUAAAUAAAUGUAAAAGGUGACACGUUUGAAUUGAUUUUGUCAUCUGUCUUUAUCAGAUACACUGAUAAGGAAGGGCAGCUGUUUAGCCAGUUCUUGGACCUGAUUAUAUUUGCGUUGUGGCAUUUUUUGUUUAAAUAUUACUAUACAAAAAUAUAAAAAUCUGUAAAUGAAGACACAAAAGGCAAAGUUACAACACCAAUAAUCCCAUCUACAGUAAUACACAGGACUGUUUGAAUAGGAUUUAAGUGCAUAUUCUCCUCUCAAAGUGCACCAGAUUCAUGCAUUCCAAUGUAAAGGGUACAAAAAAUGUUCAUGCCCCCGGACCCCCCUAGAGGGCUCGGGGACCACACCACCGCUGCUGAAAAAAAUCCUGCGGGAAACACUGCAGAGGAAGACAGCGACACGUCGUUUGACUACGAGGCAGACGCCAUGUUUCAGGAAGGACGAGACAUUACUCUUGACAAGUCCAUCGAGGUUCAUGGGUGCUGACAUCCUGAUAGGGCACUACAAAGUCCUCCACAAGCCUCCUCCUGCAGUCGUGACUGCUACAAUGGCUGGCAUGUAUCCAAAAAUUUGAAAGAUGUAUAUUUGAAUACAUUUUUAACCAUAUGACCAGUUUUGUCUCCUUUAUAUAAAAGUAUGAUUUUUAGUGUAAAAGUAGCCUUUUUAGCCUAUUUGGUUACCAUGGGUACCAAGGGUCCUUUGGAGCCUCCAAAUGGCCUUUUUUGGAAAACGCCCAGACAUGCCCUUAGUAAAACAUCUGUAAAAUAUUCAUUUUCUUUGGUAUUGUGUUCAAAUUUGAACUUGAGCUAGUCAAGGCUUCAUGCUAGGGUCCCAUUGGGUUUUCCAGCUCAUAAGUCCCAGCUAUAGUCAGCAGCAGGCAUCUGUUUACCAAAAAUAUUCAGGCGAAAAUAAAAACCUUCUACCUCACUGUGUGCCAACUGCUAUUACUCAAUGCAAGUAGCACUUAUAGUUAUUCUGACUAUUGGGUAGGGAAGAUCAGAAUGUUACCUUUAAAAAGAGACCAAGAUCAUGCAUGUACUCCAAAUGGUUCAAGAACAGCUUUCAAUUUAAUUUGGGUGUCCUCAAACAGGCGUUUUAGGCGAUUUUCACCCGUUUCUUAAGAGGUUAAGUGUGUUUUUUUAAGGCUUUUAUUUACAGGUUUUAAUGCAUAGUUUAUUUUACUUUCAAUUUUAGAAUCUGGCAACGUCAGGAAAACAUCGACAGAUAUAAAAUUCUGGCUCAUUGACUUCAACAAAAAGAGUUUUACAGACUUUUUUAUUUUUUGGCAGCUACUUGCUGUAUAUACUUUGUAUAUUUAAAAACUUUGCCUCACAGCAGACAAAACAAGAUGCCAGCUUAAUAAUGUGACUCCACAAGGUCGGACCCGUUUGUUUCUGCUCUGUUCAGAAAUCCAGAUGAACAGUUCUACAGUAUCACUUUAAAAUAGAAGAUGGGUCGAUCUAAUCUCUGUGUUUUAAAUACUUUGCACUCUAGAGGAAACCACAAGGCCAGAUCAGCCAAAUAAAACAAGACUUGAAGUUUCAAGGUGACGUGAGUCUGCCAGAUGGCCAACUCUAUCUUCCUGUUCAGUGAUUCAUUUCAUUUGGCCAUGUACAUGGUUGGUGUGAUGAAAACUGUGAGUAAACAGUUAGAAUUACAUUUGACUGUGGGCAUUUUAACCAAACAACGUAGUACAUAUUAGAUCAUGUGUUACGGUUUGAAGGAGGAGAUGGACCCAGGAUGCAGAGGUUAUAACAAAAAGGGGAUUUAAUAUAUAAAAACGUCUUUAACAAGACAAAAACAAAACAAGAGCACUAACAAAAGUAACACUGGCGACAAGGCGCACUGAGAACAAGGAAGGAGGAAGCAGGAGAAGCUGGACGAAACAGCAGGAACAAACAAACCAUCUCUCACGACGUGUAGAGAAAACAACGAGUACAACCCGACGCCAGACAAAGGGAAACAGAGGCUUAAAUACAAAGCAGGAAGGCCGGGGCAAUUACACCAGGUGAAACACAUGAGGAUUGGAGAUCACAAUCACAGACAGGAAGUGAGACACCGAGAAGCUGAAACAAGACAGUGAGAGCAAGGCUACAAAAUAAAACAGGAAAUAGAAAACACAAGACAGAACCCCAGAAACCUAAAUGACUGAGCGUCACAUCAUGUCUUAUAUAUAUUAUAUAGUAUAUAAGAAUUACGUGAGCAAGAACAGUUGUAUUCCUCUUGAAAAGAUUACAUAUAAUCUCAGAAUGAAAUAUAAGUUAUUUUUGAAAAAACUGGCAACCCUAUUUGGAGUACAUGGAUACACCACCAACGGUACCAUAGGACUAACUAUUUGGAGCUCUGAAUUAUGUUAUGUACUGUGUCAUUGCGGUAUUUCUCUGUGAUGUGUCAUCCUAUGCACCAACACUUUUUUUUACUUUUUCUCUUUGGGUGGGGGGAAUUAUUUACUUUAUUUAUUUAUUAGUUUUAUUUCAUCUAUGUGUGUAUCUUUUUUUUUUGUUAAGUAAUUUUCUGUAAUGUUUAAUGUAGUGUUCUCUGAAUGCUCUGCAUGUUCUCUUGCAUUGUGAAAAUAUUUAGAAAAAUAAAAUAUUCCAAAAAAAGUAUUACGUGAGCAUAUUCAAAAUAGCUUUGGGCAUCUUUUCUCCAAAACUAUCGCAGACAUUAUCAUUUUUAUUUUGGUUAUUAAACACAAUCAUGCAUAGUAUCAGUUUACUUUGGAUAUCACAGAAGUCUGUUGUCUUAUCUGGAACUGAAGGAUGCAUUUUCAACUGCAGCUUCAUCUUCAUUUAAUUACAUCACACAUGAAGAAAAAGGCUGUGAAUGUGUGUAUUAAGUUGUGAACCCACCUUGCUGUUGCAUAUUACUGACAGACAGUUCCACACCCAACCACAAAACAUUGCAUAUCAGCAUAAAUAUACAAAAGCACUUGACAGUAAGUGACUGAGCUUCUGUUAUGGCAACAUGGUCCAAAUCCAAACUGAAAAGCAACCUGUUUUACUGGAAAAAACGUUAUAAAACUUUCAGGUUCCUUCUUGUAUUUAACUGUAGGCACAGUGGAAGAAAACAAGACGAUGGGGAACAACUCUGUAAUCACGAGUAAAUGAGCUCAGAUUUUAUUUUGUAUUUUCUCCUAUACAUUGCAUGAUAAGCUGUGUGGGCUGCAAAAUAAUAUCUUUGAUUCCACAGUAAGAACAAGGUUGACAUCACCUACUGGUCUGUGAGCUCAGACCUUGUGUUUGAUCUUGUGUCCAGCGCCAUCUUGGUUUUUUUAUACCAGAGGUAACCAUAUUUGGAGGAGCAGGGGAGGAGCCUGAUGAGAGCUUGGGGAACCCAACAGGAUUCAUCCAUGGACCUUUAGUCUGUUGCAGAAUAUAAGCUCUGCGAAAAACAGAAUUUAUGACAUUCACACAGUACGUUCAGCAAGAGAAUCUUCACGAGCACACAUCAAAGCUGUAAUGCUGGAAUAGAGUAGAUUUGAAUUCAUGUUCUGUUGGAUGAUGUUUCAUAUCCAGACAACCUCUGUAUCGUCUGUAUUUACUGAUGUUUAUUUUGUAAAAAGGAAAAUGUCUUAUGCUUGUGAUUCCCACAGAGUUUAUAUAUUAGACGUCUCUAAAUCCCAUUUGGAUUUAGAGACUUCCAAUCCGGAAGUUUAGCAACUUCCGGAUUGGGGAACUGAGAAGUGCAAAGAUGUAAACUCAUUCCUGUGUAUCAGGACUCAUUCCUGCUGCAGUUUAUUCAAGAUUCUCUACAUGGUUUGUCUCAUCUCUUAUAACGCCCCUGACUUUGACCUACACUAUAAAACAAAGCUACUCCGUGGGUUUGACCUCUCUGUCAGGAUGCGUUGACUGUUUCCUUUCAUUUAACAUAACUGCAGAGAGAGAAAGUCGGAGAGACGCUGCAUGGCUGACAGUAUAUGCAAGGAAAGGAAAUGAUACUAUAGAUGGUGCUUGAAGAAAGAUGCAGAGUUUUUGUACUGUACUGCUAUAUAGCCAUGCUAGUAGCGGCCGCUUGAGUUUGCAAAACCACACUACUUUUUACU